rnacentral:rRNA from 1 species
AUUGAACGCUGGCGGCAGGCCUAACACAUGCAAGUCGAGCGGAGCGGCGGGCGGGUGAGUAAUGCCUAGGACUCUGCCUGGUAGUGGGGGUAAACGUCCGGAAACGGGCGCUAAUACCGCAUACUAUCAGAUGAGACUAGGUCGGAUUAGCUAGUUGGUUGGGUAAAGGCCUACCAAGGCGACGAUCCGUAACUGGCCUGAGAGGAUGAUCAGUCACACUGGAAGUGAGACACGGUCCAGACUCCUACGUGAGGGAGCAGUGGGGAAUAUUGGACAAGGGGCGAAAGCCUGAUCCAGCCAUGCCGCGUGUGUGAAGAAGGUCUUCGGAUUGUAAAGCACUUUAAGUUGGGAGGCGUUACCAACAGAAUAAGCACCGGCUAACUUCGUGCCAGCCGCCGCGGUAAUUC